AUACGGAGGAUCCGAGCGUUAUCCGGAUUUAUUGGGUUUAAAGGGUGCGCAGGCGGCCAUUUAAGUCAGCGGUUAAAUCGUGGGGCUCAACCCCAUUCUGCCGUUGAUACUGGGUGGCUUGAUUGCGGUCGAGGUUGGCGGAAUUCGUUGUGUAGCGGUGAAACGCAUAGAUAUGACGAAGAACACCGAUUGCGUAGGCAGCUGACCAGACCGCAAAUGACGCUCAUGCACGAAAGUGCGGUGAUCGAACAGGAUUAGAUACCCUGGUAGUCCGCACAGUAAACGAUGAAUACUUGUUUUCGGCGAUAUAAUGUCGGAGGCAAAGCGAAAGCGAUAAGUAUUCCACCUGGGGAGUACGCCGGCAACGGUGAAACUCAAAUGAAUUGACGGGG
rnacentral:rRNA from 1 species